rnacentral:rRNA from 1 species
UACGGAGGGUGCAAGCGUUGUCCGGAUUUAUUGGGUUUAAAGGGUGCGUAGGCGGGAGAUUAAGUCAGAGGUGAAAGACUGCAGCUCAACUGUAGCAGUGCCUUUGAUACAGCACAUCUGGAGUCCGGAAGAGGUGGGUGGAAUUCCUAGUGUAGAGGUGAAAUUCGUAGAUAUUAGGAAGAACACCGGUGGCGAAGGCGCUCUGCUAGGCCGCAACUGACACUGAGGGACGAAAGCAUGGGGAGCGAACAGG